rnacentral:lncRNA from 1 species
CUUGGCCUCCCAAAGUGUUGGGAUUACAGGUGUAAGCCACUGAGCCUGGCCAUUAAGUCCCCAUUUCUUUGGGGUCAACUAUUAGAGCUUUAUUUUGUUGCUUUAAAGGUGUCAUAUUUCCUUGAUUCUUUGUAUAUAUAUAUUUUUGAAGACUUGCGCUGCUAUCUUCACAUUUGAAGAAGCGGUCACCUCCUUUAGUCUUACUUGUUUCUUAUUAAAAUUUUUUUAAUGUUUUUUUUUAAGAGAUGGGAUCUCACUAUGUUGCCCAGGGUGGUCUCAAACUCCUGGCCUCAAGUGAUCCUCCCACCUCAGCCUCCCAAAGUGCUGAGAUUACAGGUGUAAGCUACCAUGCCUGGCUGUCCCCCAGUCUUUGUUGACUGGCUUUGGGAGAGAAAGACCUUCAUCAGUCAUCCUAGCUAAGGAUUUGAGGGAUCGCUCAGAUCUUUUCUGUAGAUACACCCACUCUACUCCUGUUGCUCCCUCUUAGGGAGAGAAGUCUUAGGUUGUAAGCUCCUCUCAAUCCUCCAAAGCUGGGUCUACACUGAGCACCUCCCAUUUUCCCUAAUGCAGUGCUCUGAAGCAUUCAAGGUUGGGCACCUUCUCCCAGUCCAGCAGAGUCAAGCCGGCUGCUCAGAUUUGCAUCUGCCGUUGAGAUCUGUGUACUGUUUGGGAGGAGGGUGCAUGAGACACCAUAUGCUCAGGGGUACGUGGAGUGCUGGGGGCAUGGAUCAGUUGGUUGGGGGGCCCACAGGCAAGUUGUUCUGUGGGUUCAUGGGCGGGCCUCCUGGUGGAGUGUUAGCUGGUUAGUGGGAUCCAUGGCUGGCUGUUGGUUGCUAGGCAUGUCCUUCCCUUCUCCUAGCAGUCCCCAGGUGACUCAGCCAUGCUGAUUCCUCAGUGUUCUGGGGAGAGACACAGGUGGGCUAUUGGGCAGCAUCCUAUAAGGUUGGGGAAGCUGGUGCUCACUCAGCACUCAGUUUCCCCUGUGGGAGAAACCACAGGCCCAGGGGGGCCUCAUUGGAGGAGCACUAGCACAGGUAAACUGAACCUUCUUAGCCUCUUCGGUGUGCUCUCUUUGCCCUGUGGGGUGCUAGAACCUCUCAGUGUUUCUGUGGGGGCAUGAGGGCUGGAACCUCCUAUUCUGUCACCUUCCUGGCCUCUUCCUACAAUUAUUUUUAUGCUCAAAUUGCCCCCGAUUUGGACAGGGGGAGAGCCUUCAGGCUGCUCCUCCAGCCCUCUCACAUGUCCCCAACGUUGUUCAGCAUUUCCUUAUUUUCCAGCACUAGACAUUCUAAGGCUCACCCUGUACUCUCUCUGCUCUUCCCUGGAAAUAGUCAUUUCUCCAAAGAGUUCUGUUCCCUUGGAAUAGAGAAUGGUAUUUACAAACCAAGAAAUGGAUUUCAGGUGUGCCAGUUGUUUCUGGGGUGGCAUUGCUUCUAGGCCCCUUCGGUGGACAGAGCUGGGAAAGAAACUGUGUGUAUCAUAUAUAUCUGCACACGUAAGCUGUGUGUGUAUCAUAUAUAAUACAUCUGCACAUAUAAACUGUGUAUGUAUCAUAUAUAAUACAUCUGCACUUAUAAACUGUGUAUGUAUCAUAUAUUAAUACAUCUGCACAUAUAAACUAUCAUCUGUACAUAUAAACUGUAUAUCAUAUAUAUCUGCACAUAUAAACAGUAUCAUAUAAUACAUCUGCACAUGUAAACUGUAUCAUAUCUGCACAUAUAAACUGUAUAUCAUAUAUAUCUGCACAUAUAAACUAUCAUAUAUAAUACAUCUGCACAUACAAACUAUCAUAUCUGCACAUAUAAACUAUAUCAUAUAUAUCUGCACAUAUAAACUAUCAUAUAUAAUACAUCUGCACAUACAAACUAUGUAUCAUAUAUAAUACAUCUGCACUUAUAAACUCUGUGUAUCAUACAUAAUACAUCUGCACAUAUAAACUAUCAUAUCUGUACAUAUAAACUGUGUAUAUCAUAUAUAUGCACAUAUAAACUAUCAUAUAUAAUACAUCUGCACAUACAAACUGUAUGUAUCAUAUAUAAUACAUCUGCACUUAUAAACUGUAUCAUACAUAAUACAUCUGCACAUAUAAACUGUAUCAUAUCUACACAUAAACUGUAUAUAUCAUAUAAUAUAUGCGCAUAUAAACUAUCAUAUAUCUGCACAUAUAAACUAUGUAUCAUAUAUAUCUGCACAUAUAAACUGUGUAUCAUAUAUAAUACAUCUGCACAUAUAAACUAUCAUAUAUAAUACAUCUGCACAUAUAAACUGUAUCAUAUAUAAUACAUCUGCACAUAUAAACUGUGUAUCAUAUAUAAUACAUCUGCACUUAUAAACUGUGUCAUAUAUCUGCACAUAUAAACUGUCAUGUAUAUCUGCACAUAUAAACUGUAUCAUAUAUAUUUGCACAUAUAAACUGUGUGUAUCAUAUAAUACAUCUGCACAUAUAAACUAUCAUAUAUAAUACAUCUGCACAUAGAAACUGUGUAUCAUAUAUCUGCACAUAUAAGCUGUGUGUGUAUCAUAUAUAUCUGCACAUAUAAACUGUGUGUAUCAUAUAUAAUACAUCUGCACAUAUAAAUGUGUGUAUCAUAUAUAUCCACACAUAUAAACUGUGUGUGUAUCAUAUAUCUACACAUAUAAACUGUGUGUAUCAUAUAUAAUACAUCUGCACAUAUAAACUGUGUGUAUCAUAUAUAUCCGCACAUAUAAACUGUGUGUGUAUCAUAUAUAUCUGCACAUAUAAACUGUGUGUGUAUCAUAUAUAAUACAUCUGCACACAUGCUUCUCUGUAUUGAAAACCAAAUUGUCACGGACCACUCCCAUUCUCACGCAGCAUUUAGGGCUGUGGCUAGCCUUUCCCAGCUGUAAGAAACCUGUCUUUCAGCAUGAUAAACACAUUUACUUAUUUGCUCAGUCCUCUAAUAUGCAGAAAGUAGUUUUAGAAUUGCCAAAACCAUACAACUUGGAAAAACAAGCAUGAUUACUUCAAGAUGUGUUUGUAGCUCCUUCUGUCCUGGCAUUGGACGUGGAGAGAAAGCACAGACUGUUCCAAGUUUCAUUUUUCCCCUUCUCUGAAACGCAGAGAGCGUUGUUUGUUUCUGUUUGUAUUUCAUUUGGGUCCUCCCUCUAGCCUUAUUCAUAAAUUUGUAAAUGAUCUUUAACAAUCUGUUAUAUUUAUGAUGUUUUACUGCGUGCUGCCUGUGAAAAUGUUUCCUUCUUCUGACACGUUCCAGAACAACUAGGCUUUUAAAUUCCAAAUAUUCCUGUUUCACAAUAAACCAGAUGAGGGCCUCUGUUGUGCCACAGCUUUUGGAAUGUGGUUUAUUACCAAUAGAAGUGGCUGCGUGGCUUGUUAUGGUUUCAAUUACACGUGAGUAACAACCGGGGCCCUUCUGUGUCAGGUGCUGCUGAUCAAGGCUGGCUAAUGGGGACCUCGCUGUCCAGAACGGGCGUUUCCCAUGGCCCGGCCCAGCUGUUUACCACUUCUGUCUACCAUUUCAGAGGGGCUUUGCGGAGAUUAAAUGAGGUGAAGCGCUCUGAGAACCUCAGUCCUAAAGAAUAGCAGUUAUACUGGUUUUUGUAUUAUAUUUAUAUAUUCUUCUUGUUAAUAUACUGGUUUUAAUGUUCAUCGUUCUCUUGGGAUCCCAUGACAGUGAGCCUGGUGUACCUGAGGUCUGGGAUACUCACACCUCUCCCCAGUCCCAUGCUCCCCACUGUGGCAGUGCCUGUCAGGGACCCUGCUGACCCCAGGAAGCCUCGGUGUCCCCAGCGCUGGCUCUGCUCACACAGGCAGCAGGCUUAGUGUUCUCUGGCCUGGCUGCACUGACUGGACCAGGGACAGGGGAAGGGCCCCAAAGCACCCUGUUCCAGGCAGCCGGCCAGUCGUGGCCGAGGAGCUCCAUUCAACAGUGGCACCCAGAGGGGCCAGGGUCUCAUAAAGCUGGUCAGACGCCCCCUCUGGGUAGGGGUGUAGGAAGCGGCUGUGCAGCCGGGUCCCAGGUAGGGAGGCAUAGAGUGAAGGCUGUGAGCAGGAGCCCUGGGGCGGAGGGCCAGGAGAAGGCUGGGCACAGGUCCAUCGGUGGCAGCUGGGUGGGCAGAGCAGAGAGGCUGCAUCUGCACGACGGCAGGGCCCUGGUGUGGGAACAGCAGACGGGGCCCCUGGGUGCGGCGCCUCCUUCCCACAUCCCUGCUGCUCCUGCAUCUGCUGCUGGAGAAGACCACGACGUGCUCAGACCCCGGCACUGGAGAACUCCAGAUGUGGUGAGGGCUGCACGUUAGCUGCAUACGCACAUCUGGAAGGUGAGGCAGACGUGCCCACCGCCUCCAUGCCUGGCCCACAGUUGUGGGCAUGCAGAGCUCCUCUGUGGCAGGCCCAGGCUGCACCAGCUGCCUGGAGAGGCACUGGGGGCGGGGCCUCACUUGAGGGGCAGAUUCUCCCACCCAGCCAGUCCAGGCCCAGCGGCUGGAGCAUCCCGUCCAGCAAAUUGUCCUGCAAGUUGCCCUGGAGACCCAGCGUCUCUCAUCACGUCUCACUCCCCUGCCAGAUGCCUCUGCGGCAAUAACGAGAGUGGCUCUGCCUUCUGCACUGAAUGCCGACAGGUGACCAGAACAUGACACUGGGGUUAUGCAGUGCCCUGGUUGAUAUUCUAGUUCAUCAGGGAGCUUCUGGAAUGAUUUUUUUUUUCUUUUUUUUUUUUUUUUGAGACAGAGUCUCUCUCUGUCGCCCAGGCUGGAGUGCAAUGGAGCAAUCUUGGCUCACCACAACCUCUGCCUCCGGGGUUCAAGUGAUUCUCCUGUCUGAGCCUCCUGAGUAGCUGGGAUUACAGGUGUCCACCACUAUCACUCAGUUAAUUUUUAUAUUUUUAGUAGAGAUGGGGUUUCACCAUGUUGCCUGGGCUGGUCUCAAACUCCUGACCUCAGGUGAUCUGCCUCCUCAGCCUCCCAAAGUGCUGGGAUUACAGGCAUGAGCCACCUCACCCAGCCAACUUUCUUUUGCUUCACUUUUCCUCUGGUUGCCCCAUCUUUAUUGUCAAGUCCUGUUAAGAGGAACAACAUUAAAAUGAGAGCUUUCAUGGCAAAAAGGUUGCUGUGGGUUGAGCUUGCAAUGUUAGCUGCGUGUUAGGAUUCAGCUGACAUCUGUCUCUGGAGUCUCGCCCUUUCUGUAAUUCGCUUUUGACUGUAAUAAAUGUUGUACAGUGAAUGUGUGGGUGGGGCCUCUGAGUUACAUCGGCUCAAGGCCUCUUUUAAGGAGGACCCAAAUAAGAGUGGGGAUUGAUGUAUUUGACUGGGAACCCACUCAGGGCCACCAUGCAGUGAAGCUCCGGAGCAGGGGUGUAGACGCCCUGCUUGAAGCGUUGAGAAGCCCCACAGUACAAGUGUGCAGAAGUCAAGCUCCUCCUGCUGGAGCAGGGACAGGGCAAUAGGGAAAGGCUUUUCCAGAGGCAGGGUCAUUGGGACUGGCUCUUCCGGGAGGAGCUGAGGGCACACGCUGGGCAGAGCUGACCUCUGUGUGCGGAUCGCCUGGGAUGGCGCCUCCGGUGGCCUCACGAUAAAGCACCUCAGAGGCAGGAGAUGAACUUGAGACCUGACCGUGAAGGAGUGAGGAGUGAAGUCCUCUUCUCAACAGAAGGAAACCAUCAAAGAGGUUACAUAAUCAAAACUGUGUUGUCAAAAUAUUGCUGGACAGAGAUGGCGGCUGGUCCGGCACGUGGGAAUGUUGGUGACAAGAGGUCAGUUCGGUGGCUCUUGGACCUCCCAGGCCAGGAGGGAAGCGCCCAGGCCAAGGUGGGAGCCUGAGAAUAGAGAUUUCAAGAGACGCUUCUAAUGAAUGCUCAUCAGAAUGUUAUUAUUAUUUUAUUUUAUUAUUUUAUUGGGACUGGAUUGACUUGCAUUUCCUUCACUAAUCAGAAGUUUGAGGGCAAAGAUAAAUCUCAAAUAAUCACCUUGCAUUUCUGAUGAGUUAAAUGAGUGUGUUUUAUGCCCUGGUUGUAUGAGCUUGCUUUUCCACAAAUAAGAGUGGAAAUUUUAUUUUAUUAUUAUUUUGUAUUAUUAUUUUAUUUUAUUUUU